AACGUGACGUGGCUUUCCCCUUCAACCGGAAGUAAGCGACUGAUUUGCCUGUUUGAUGCUGAGCAGCUGAAGUAUCGCUUGAACCAAGAGUAAAAGCCCAAUUUCAGGCAUAAUAAUGGUGACGGACGUGCAGCUGGCCAUAUUUGCCAACAUGCUUGGCGUGUCAUUGUUCCUGCUGGUUGUGUUGUACCACUAUGUUGCAGUCAAUAACCCCAAGAAGCAGGAGUAGAGUCCCUCCAGAAUGAUUGAAGAGGCGAGAUGGGACUCAAUGUCGCCACCAAGGAAACAACAUUCCCUACAUUCAGUCCCAGGAGAUGAAUUUAUAUGUAUGAUUGCACAGUAGUGUUUUUUUCUAAUAAAAAUAUGUGAAUGCCAUUUGCUUUAA